AACCUGGCCAAUAUGUCGAUGACCAGGAUAAAACUUAGGUGAAACUAAGUGCAGGUCAGAACCAACUUAUGUUAAAGAAUCAAUGGGUGAAUUGUGGCUAGGGUGAAAUGUCACUCGAGCCUAGAGCUAG